AAAAGAACCCCGGGAGGGGAGUGAAAGAGAACCUGAAACCCUGCACUUACAAGCUGUAGGAGCACAUUAUUUGUGUGACUGCGUACUUUUUGUAGAACGGGCCAACGAGUUACGUUGUGUAGCAAGGUUAAGCACUUAAGGUGUGGAGCCGUAGCGAAAGCGAGUCUUAAAUGGGCGUCCAGUUACCCGACGUAGACCCGAAACCAGGCGACCUAUCCAUGAGCAGGUUGAAGCGAAAGUAAAAUUUCGUGGAGGACCGAACCCACGUACGUUGAAAAGUGCGGGGAUGACUUGUGGAUAGCGGUGAAAUUCCAAUCGAGCCUGGAGAUAGCUGGUUCUCCCCGAAAUAGCUUUAGGGCUAGCCUCAAGCUUAGAGAAACGGAGGUAGAGCACUGAAUGUCCUAGGGGGUAUUGCACUUACCGAAGACUAUCAAACUCCGAAUGCCGUAUUCUUUUGCUUGGGAGUCAGACUAUGGGUGAUAAGAUUCAUAGUCAAGAGGGCAACAGCCCAGAUCGUCAGCUAAGGUCCCUAAAUGUAAGUUAAGUGGUAAAGGAUGUGGAAUUGCACAGACAACCAGGAUGUUGGCUUAGAAGCAGCCACUCAUUUAAAGAGUGCGUAAUAGCUCACUGGUCGAGUGAUUCUGCGCCGAAAAUUUCCGGGGCUAAAACUUACUACCGAAGCUACGGCAUCAUUAUGAUGGGUAGGGGAGCUUUCUAUGUGGCUUGAAGCAUGACCGUAAGGACAUGUGGACUGCAUAGAAGUGAGAAUGUUGGCAUGAGUAGCGAGAUGUGGGUGAGAAUCCCACAGGCCGUAAACCCAAGGUUUCCAGGGGAAGGUUCGUCCGCCCUGGGUUAGUCAGGACCUAAGCCGAGGCCGAAAGGCGUAGGUGAUGGACAACAGGUUGAUAUUCCUGUACCACCAAUAACCGUUUGAGAAAUGGGAUGACACAGUAGGAUAAGCUAACCGCACUGUUGGUUAUGUGCGGGCAAGUAUUGAGGCAGUUCCGAUAGGCAAAUCCGUCGGAAUAAUGCUGGGGUACGAUGCGGAGCGAAAUUUAGUAGCGAAGUAGCUGAUUUCACACUGUCGAGAAAAGUCUCUAUCGAGGUUAAAGGUGCCUGUACCGCAAACCGACACAGGUGGGUGAGGAGAGUAUCCUAAGGCCAGCGAGAGAACUGUUGUUAAGGAACUCGGCAAAAUGACCCCGUAACUUAGGGAGAAGGGGUGCCUUCGAAAGAAGGCCGCAGAGAAUAGGCCCAAGCGACUGUUUACCAAAAACAUAGGUUUCUGCUAAGUCGCAAGACGAUGUAUAGGAGCUGACGCCUGCCCGGUGCUGGAAGGUUAAGGGGAUCUGUUAGAGCAAUCGAAGCAGUGAACUUAAGCCCCAGUAAACGGCGGCCGUAACUAUAACGGUCCUAAGGUAGCGAAAUUCCUUGUCGGGUAAGUUCCGACCCGCACGAAAGGCGUAACGAUUUGGGCACUGUCUCAACAACAGACUCGGUGAAAUUGUAAUACCGGUGAAGAUGCCGGUUACCUGCGACAGGACGGAAAGACCCCAUGGAGCUUUACUGUAGCUUGACAUUGAGUCUCGGUGCUACAUGUACAGGAUAGGUGGGAGACUAUGAAGCAUGGACGUCAGUCUGUGUGGAGUCAUCCUUGGGAUACCACCCUUGUAGUACUGGGAUUCUAACCAGAGGCCAUGAAUCUGGUCUUGGGACACUGUCAGGUGGACAGUUUGACUGGGGCGGUCGCCUCCCAAAAAGUAACGGAGGCGCUCAAAGGUUCUCUCAGUACGGUCGGAAAUCGUACGAAGAGUGUAAAGGCAAAAGAGAGCUUGAUUGCAAGACAUACAGGUCGAGCAAGGACGAAAGUCGGACUUAGUGAUCCGGUGGUUCCGCAUGGAAGGGCCAUCGCUCAACGGAUAAAAGCUACCCUGGGGAUAACAGGCUGAUCUCCCCCAAGAGUCCACAUCGACGGGGAGGUUUGGCACCUCGAUGUCGGCUCAUCACAUCCUGGGGCUGUAGUAGGUCCCAAGGGUUGGGCUGUUCGCCCAUUAAAGUGGUACGCGAGCUGGGUUCAGAACGUCGUGAGACAGUUCGGUCCCUAUCCGUCGCAGGCGUAGGAAAUUUGAGGAGACCUGUCCUUAGUACGAGAGGACCGGGAUGGACGUACCGCUGGUGUACCAGUUGUUCUGCCAAGGGCAUGGCUGGGUAGCUAAGUACGGAAAGGAUAAGCGCUGAAAGCAUCUAAGCGCGAAGCCCACUUCAAGAUAAGAUUUCCCAUCCG
rnacentral:rRNA from 1 species